rnacentral:rRNA from 1 species
AACGUAGGGGGCUAGCGUUGUCCGGAUUUAUUGGGCGUAAAGAGCGUGUAGGCGGCCAUGUAGGUCCGGUGUGAAAACUCGAGGCUUAACCUCGAGAUGUCAUCGGAAACCAUUUGGCUAGAGUCCGGAAGAGGAGAGUGGAAUUCCUGGUGUAGCGGUGAAAUGCGCAGAUAUCAGGAAGAACACCAAUGGCGAAGGCAGCUCUCUGGGACGGUACUGACGCUGAGACGCGAAAGCGUGGGGAGCAAACAGG